CCUUGAGUGGUGAAAAUGGUUAACGUGCUUGGCUGAUAACCAAAAGAUUGGAGGUUCGAAUCCACCCAGAGGCA
rnacentral:tRNA from 1 species